UACGAAGGGUGCAAACGUUGCUCGGAAUUAUUGGGCGUAAAGCGCACGUAGGCGGCUUUGUAAGUCGGGGGUGAAAUCCCGAGGCUCAACCUCGGAACUGCCUUCGAUACUGCGGGUCUCGAGUCCGGGAGAGGUGAGUGGAAUUCCUAGUGUAGAGGUGAAAUUCGUAGAUAUUAGGAAGAACACCAGUGGCGAAGGCGGCUCACUGGCCCGGUACUGACGCUGAGGCGCGAAAGCGUGGGGAGCAAACAGG
rnacentral:rRNA from 1 species